rnacentral:rRNA from 1 species
UGAAGGACGUGCUAAUCUGCGAUAAGCGUCGGUAAGGUGAUAUGAACCGUUAUAACCGGCGAUUUCCGAAUGGGGAAACCCAGUGUGAUUCGUCACACUAUCAUUAACUGAAUCCAUAGGUUAAUGAGGCGAACCGGGGGAACUGAAACAUCUAAGUACCCCGAGGAAAAGAAAUCAACCGAGAUUCCCCCAGUAGCGGCGAGCGAACGGGGAGCAGCCCAGAGCCUGAAUCAGUGUGUGUGUUAGUGGAAGCGUCUGGAAAGGCGCGCGAUACAGGGUGACAGCCCCGUACACAAAAAUGCACAUAUUGUGAGCUCGAUGAGUAGGGCGGGACACGUGGUAUCCUGUCUGAAUAUGGGGGGCCCAUCCUCCAAGGCUAAAUACUCCUGACUGACCGAUAGUGAACCAGUACCGUGAGGGAAAGGCGAAAAGAACCCCGGCGAGGGGAGUGAAAAAGAACCUGAAACCGUGUACGUACAAGCAGUGGGAGCACGCUUAGGCGUGUGACUGCGUACCUUUUGUAUAAUGGGUCAGCGACUUAUAUUCUGUAGCAAGGUUAACCGAAUAGGGGAGCCGAAGGGAAACCGAGUCUUAACUGGGCGUUAAGUUGCAGGGUAUAGACCCGAAACCCGGUGAUCUAGCCAUGGGCAGGUUGAAGGUUGGGUAACACUAACUGGAGGACCGAACCGACUAAUGUUGAAAAAUUAGCGGAUGACUUGUGGCUGGGGGUGAAAGGCCAAUCAAACCGGGAGAUAGCUGGUUCUCCCCGAAAGCUAUUUAGGUAGCGCCUCGUGAAUUCAUCUCCGGGGGUAGAGCACUGUUUCGGCA